GUGGGGAAUAUUGGACAAUGGGCGAAAGCCUGAUCCAGCCAUGCCGCGUGUGUGAAGAAGGUCUUCGGAUUGUAAAGCACUUUAAGUUGGGAGGAAGGGCAGUAAGUUAAUACCUUGCUGUUUUGACGUUACCGACAGAAUAAGCACCGGCUAACUUCGUGCCAGCAGCCGCGGUAAUACGAAGGGUGCAAGCGUUAAUCGGAAUUACUGGGCGUAAAGCGCGCGUAGGUGGUUUUGUAAGUUGGAGGUGAAAUCCCCGGGCUCAACCUGGGAACUGCCUCCAAAACUGGAUGACUAGAGUACGGUAGAGGGUAGUGGAAUUUCCUGUGUAGCGGUGAAAUGCGUAGAUAUAGGAAGGAACACCAGUGGCGAAGGCGACUACCUGGACUGAUACUGACACUGAGGUGCGAAAGCGUGGGGAGCAAACAGGAUUAGAUACCCCGGUAGUCC
rnacentral:rRNA from 1 species